UACGAAGGGGGCUAGCGUUGCUCGGAAUCACUGGGCGUAAAGGGUGCGUAGGCGGGGCUUUAAGUCAGGGGUGAAAUCCUGGAGCUCAACUCCAGAACUGCCUUUGAUACUGAAGAUCUUGAGUUCGGGAGAGGUGAGUGGAACUGCGAGUGUAGAGGUGAAAUUCGUAGAUAUUCGCAAGAACACCAGUGGCGAAGGCGGCCAACUGGUCCGGUACUGACGCUGAGGUGCGAAAGCGUGGGGAGCAAACAGG
rnacentral:rRNA from 1 species